GGCAUGUGGAGGGUCCCAGGCCAGGGGUCUAAUCGGAGCUGUAGCCGCCGGCCCAUGCCAGAGCCGCAGCAAUGCCAGAUCCAAACCGCGUCUGCAACCUACACCACAGCUCACGGCAACGCCGGAUCCUUAACCCAUUAAGCAAGGCCAGGGGUCGAACCCGCAACCUCAUGGUUCCUAGUUGGAUUUGUUAACCACUUCGCCACGAUGGGAACUCCUCCACUUAGAUUUUGUAGUACCUGAUGUUACAACCUUUCAUUCUUGGCAAUCCCUUUUCUCUUUAAAGUGUCGUUUCUCUACUUCUGUCUUUCAUUCAAAGUAUAAAAAUUCUUAAAAAGUCCCUUCAUUUCCUUACUUUCUCUGCCGCUGCCGCUCUAACUCUCUAUCUCCUGCCCUUUGCCCUUCUGUUCUUUCUGACUACUUAUUUCCUUUUCUGUUUUACUUGCCAUUUGUCUUGCUCUAAGACUGCAUGUGAGUUUCUACCCAUAGUCAUCUAGGUCUUCAGCCCAAGAUAAUUCCAUCUCUUCAUGGGGAGAAAAACUAGAGACAAAAAACACCCCAGAGCUCUGGGCUCUCGCCUUUCCUUUAUUGUGUGGCUCUGUUCUUCCCUUAGCGCUUUUAAAUUAUAGUCUCAGCCCUGGAAAGAGAGAAUGACCCAGGAUACUGCUCAGUAAUGCACUCCACCAAUCACCUUUCAACUAAGGGCUCAGAAGGCACAGCUUUACUAUUUAAAGUGUAAGAUGUUCCAGGCUGAUAUUAUGCUCUUUUGUUGUUGCUGUUGUUGUCUUUUUAGGGCCGGAUCCACAGCAUAUGGAGGUUCCCAGGCUGGGGGUCAAAUCGGAGUGGUAGCUGCCAACCUAUGCCAGAGCCACAUCAACGCAGGAUCCGAGCCACGUCUGUGACCUACACCACAGCUCACCGCAAUGCUGGAUUCUUAACUCACUGAGCAAGGCUGGGGAUCGAACCUGCGUCCUCAUGGAUGCUCCUCAGAUUUGUUUCCGCUGAGCCACGAUGGGAACUCCUGAUAUUAUGCUCUUGUAGGACCAGGUAAUCUAGCUGAAGUCCAGCCUCUGCUAUUCUACUGCCCAGAGGCUGGGGACACUUUGGAAUUCUGGAUAGGCCUCACUUUGGGCAGAAAAGUUCUGCAAAGUCAAUGUAGUCCAUCUAGUCACCUGACAUCUGUGUCUCUGAAUCCAGGGAAGGGAAACUCACUACUUCCCAAGGCAGCCUAAUCUGUUCCAUGACCAAAUAAGAAAGUUGCAUUUUCAAAGAAAACAUUCAUGUAUUUGGUCAUGGUGACUGUUUGCUUAGCAAACUAUCCUUCCAUGAAUCAUGGUUAUUCUGAACUUUCAGUAGCCCUAGGUCACUUCACCCCAUCAAAGUCUUUGCAAGAGAAAGGGCUUUAAAGGCAUCAGAAUGUUAGAUUAUUUAUUCUUUUAAAAUUUACAAAUGUGGAGGUAAAAAUAUGUUUAUAGUGCAUGGAUCUAUCCUUAUCAGCCUUAUCAUCAUGUGUAAUAAUAAUAGCUCAUACUUCUAGAGAAUUACUGUGUGCCAGGCAUUAUUCUAAGAAUUUUGCAUAUAUUAAACCACGUAAGUGUGAUAUCUCUAAACUUCUCCUAUUUCCUUCCCUAUAGGGGUCCAGAAUUUGAUAACACAUCAACAAAAGAAGAAAUCUAUGUCAUCCAGCCCAAUCUUCAACAUUCUCUAUGAGUCCCAGAAAGGGUGUGUGCCUUACCUUAGGUCACACAGCUACUAAUGGUCAAGUGAAUCUCAAGCACUUAACAAUAUCAAGCUCGCUGUUCAUAGCCAGCAUCAAGAACGAAAUUUUAGGAACCUGAGAUUCUUUUUCAUAAAAACCUGCCUUGAUUUGCUCUACAUGGGGCUACUACUCUUUCACAAGGUGCCCAAAUCACCUUUCCUGCCUUGUUAUCUUUUAAAGUCAGUGAGAUUUCUGAAUCAGGAACAGAAUCCUUUCGAUCUCUGCCAUUGACUCUCUUAUCAGAACAACUGACAGACACAGUUCAAUUGACCUAUUCAAGAUCUGCUGGAUCUUUCUCCUCUGUGGCUUGCAGGGAAGGAUGUAAGAAGCAGUGGGAGAGCAGGUAUCAGGAGAGGAGGACCCUGAUAGAACAAGGAGACAGAUGGAGGCUUAGCUGGCUGCAUGCUGAACUGAGCACCUCUCUGGCAGGAGAGAAGGGAGCUGGGUCCCUGACUGUUUACUUCCAUGGAAGUUCACCUGAAUUUUGCUCCUGGGACAGAAUGGGAUAUUCCCGCCCAAUUCUGGCUGUGCACAUUUCUUCCCAAGAACCUCCGUCUCUGCCCUAUCUAUAUAUGGAAACACAUCUGACAACAGCAGCAGACAAGAAAGAUUUUUGUUCUCUCAGAACGCAGAAAAAUUCUCCGUCAGCAGCCGUUUUUUUCAGUGUUUGGUGCAUUGAUGUGUGGGCUACAUAGACUAUUUUAAAGUCAUAUUUGCCUUCAAGCAAUGGCAGCUUUGUAAACAGUAUGGACAUGGACAUAUGAGUCAGAUUCAGUUUAUAACCAAUGCUAAGGCAAUUCCAAAACUACUUUAUUGUAUAAAUAUUGUUCAGAA
rnacentral:lncRNA from 1 species